rnacentral:rRNA from 1 species
AGUGGCGCACGGGUGAGUAACACGUGGGCAACCUGCCCUGGAGACCGGGAUACCCUCUCGAAAGGGAGGCUAAUACCGGAUACGUUCCCCGGACCGAAAGAUCUGGGGAGGAAAGGUGGCGCAAGCUGCCGCUCUUGGAGGGGCUCGCGGCCUAUCAGCUAGUUGGUGAGGUAAUGGCUCACCAAGGCUAUGACGGGUAGCUGGUCUGAGAGGACGAUCAGCCACACGGGGACUGAGACACGGCCCCGACUCCUACGGGAGGCAGCAGUGGGGAAUUUUCCGCAAUGGGCGAAAGCCUGACGGAGUGACGCCGCGUGGGGGACGAAGGCCUUCGGGUUGUAAACCCCUGUCAGAGGGAAAGAAGGGUGUCGGCGCGAUAACCGCCGGCACCUGACGGUACCUUCAGAGGAAGCCCCGGCCAACUCUGUGCCAGCAGCCGCGGUAAGACAGAGGGGGCUAGCGUUGCUCGGAAUUACUGGGCGUAAAGGGCGCGUAGGCGGGGCGGCAAGUCGGUCGUGAAAUCCUCCGGCUCAACCGGAGAACGUCGGCCGAAACUGCCGUUCUUGAGGGAUGCAGAGGAGAUUGGAAUUCCCGGUGUAGCGGUGAAAUGUGUAGAGAUCGGGAGGAACACCGGUGGCGAAGGCGGGUCUCUGGGCAUCUCCUGACGCUGAGGCGCGAAAGCGUGGGGAGCAAACGGGAUUAGAUACCCCGGUAGUCCACGCUGUAAACGAUGACGACUAGGUGUGGGGGGGGUUCAGUCCUUUCCGUGCCGCAGCUAACGCAUUAAGUCGUCCGCCUGGGGAGUGCGGCCGCAAGGUUGAAACUCAAAGGAAUUGACGGGGGCCCGCACAAGCGGUGGAGCAUGUGGUUCAUUUCGAUGCAACGCGAAGAACCUUACCUGGGCUU